rnacentral:rRNA from 1 species
AUUGAACGCUGGCGGCAGGCCUAACACAUGCAAGUCGAGCGGAUGAAGGGAGCUUGCUCCUGGAUUCAGCGGCGGACGGGUGGGUAAUGCCUAGGAAUCUGCCUGGUAGUGGGGGAUGACGUCCGGAAACGGGCGCUAAUACCGCAUCCGUCCUGAUGGUGAACGUGGGGGAUCUUCGGACCUAAAGCUAUCUGAUGAGCCUAGUUCGGAUUAGCUAGUUGGUUGGGUAAAGGCCUACCAAGGCGACGAUCCGUAACUGGUCUGAGAGGAUGAUCAGUCACACUGGAACUGAGACACGGUCCAGACUCCUACGGGAGGCAGCAGUAGGGAAUAUUGGACAAUGGGCGAAAGCCUGAUCCAGCAAUGCCGCGUGUGUGAAGAAGGUCUUCGGAUUGUAAAGCACUUUUAGUUGGGAGGAAGGGAAGUAAGUUAAUACCUUGAUGUUUUGACGUUACCAACAGAAUAAGCACCGGCUAACUUCGUG